rnacentral:lncRNA from 1 species
UUCAUCUGCUUUCCCUUCCGUUCCUAUCAGAAUCUCUAGCUCUUAUCUUCACAACCAUCUCCACUCAAAAAAUCUCUUUCUGCUAAAAACCUCCUUCCAUCUUCUUCUCGGCCAAUGGCUCCGAAAAUGCAUCUUCUCCAACGUCAAAAAAUAAGCAAAAGUGAAGAAAGCAGAAGGGAAGAAGAAAAUAGAAGGGGAAGGGGAAGGGGAAGGGGAAGAGAAGCAAGC